rnacentral:lncRNA from 1 species
AAAUGAAGGGUAAAUUUUGGGGUAUUACAGCUGCCCCUAUUCAAUCAACUGGAGACCCGGAAAGAAGAUGACAGCUGCUUUCAUGCUUUCGAGGUAUCAAGGGAUUGAAUACAAUAAAAGCCCAAAAAUUUGCACUGAAGUGAAGUGAAGUCACAAUGCCUGUCAGAAUCGGCAAAGAGGUGGUCUUGAAAGAAGAAUCUGUCUGGUACACAGAAAUAACCAUGGCUUGAAUGCCGCUCAUCAGUCUGAAUACUGGAAAGGAUUUCGAUCUGAACAUCGGAAAAUGGGCCUGAAUGCCACAAGUCGCAUCGACCUGAACGUCGGAACCUUCUUC